UUUAAAUUGAGAGUUUGAUCCUGGCUCAGGAUGAACGCUGGUGGCGUGCCUAAUACAUGCAAGUCGUACGCUAGCCGCUGAAUUGAUCCUUCGGGUGAAGUGAGGCAAUGACUAGAGUGGCGAACUGGUGAGUAACACGUAAGAAACCUGCCCUUUAGUGGGGGAUAACAUUUGGAAACAGAUGCUAAUACCGCGUAACAACAAAUCACACAUGUGAUCUGUUUGAAAGGUCCUUUUGGAUCGCUAGAGGAUGGUCUUGCGGCGUAUUAGCUUGUUGGUAGGGUAGAAGCCUACCAAGGCAAUGAYGCGUAGCCGAGU
rnacentral:rRNA from 1 species